rnacentral:lncRNA from 1 species
AGCUGUAUGAUUGACUGCUUCAUGAUUGUCAAGCUGUGAUUCAGCUUGAUCAAUAGAAAUUUUCCUAUAAGGUGAUGGUUCAUUCUGUACUGUCCCUUUGUCUGUGUUGGUAUCCCGUGUAAUAGUUAAAGCAUUCGAUGAUUGUGUCAAUGAACUAGACGAUGGCAUUAUACAAACCUGUGCAUUGUUAUCAUUUGGUGUCACA